rnacentral:rRNA from 1 species
GAUGAACGCUAGCGGCAGGCUUAAUACAUGCAAGUCGUGGGGCAGCAUGACUGUAGCAAUACAGUUGAUGGCGACCGGCAAACGGGUGCGGAACACGUACACAACCUUCCUUUAAGUGGGGAAUAGCCCGGGGAAACCCGGAUUAAUACCCCGUAAUAUAAUGAAGUGGCAUCACUUUAUUAUUAUAGCUCCGGCGCUUGAAGAUGGGUGUGCGACUGAUUAGGCAGUUGGCGGGGUAAUGGCCCACCAAACCUACGAUCAGUAACUGGU